rnacentral:lncRNA from 1 species
AAGAGAUACCUCAGCGGGAGCACCCUAGCGGCACUCUCGCCGUGAGUUCGAAUCCCUGGUUUGGAAGUUGUGCAGUCGCUCCCCUGAAGGAGAAAAAAACAAAAUUUUUUAACGACAAUUUAAGACAGCUCAGGCAGCGGCGGGGUGACGGGGUGAAAGCAAUACCAAACGGUAGCUGGUAUAUAUAUAUGGCUCUCGCCGUGGGUUCGAAUCCCGGGUUGGGAAGUUGUGCAGUUGUUGCCCUGAAGGAGAAAAAAACAAAAAUUUUUUUAACGACAAUUUAAGACAAUUCAGGAAGCGACGGGAGUGAAAACAAUACCAAAUGGCAGCCGGUGUAUAUGUGGCUCUCGCCGCAAGUUCGAAUCCCGGGUUCAGAAGUUGUGCAGUUGUUCCCCUGAAGGAGAAAAAACAAAUUUUUUUAACGACAAUUUAAGACAAUUCAGGCAGCGGCGGGUAUAUAUGUAUGGCGCUCACCGCGAGUUCGAAUCCCCGAUUCGGAAGUUGUGCAGUCGUUACCCUGAAGGAGAAAAAACACAAUUUUUUUUAAUGACAAUUUAAGACAAUUGAGGCAGUAGUAGGGUGAAAGCAAUACCAAAUGGCGGCCGGUUAUAUAUAUAUAUGGCUCUCGCCGCGAGUUCGAAUCCCGGGUUGGGAAGUUGUGCAGUUGUUGCCCUGAAGGAGAAAAAAACAAAAAUUUUUUUAACGACAAUUUAAGACAGUUCAGGCAGCGGCGGGGUGAAAGCAAUACCAAACGGUGGCUGGUAUAUAUAUAUGGCUCUCGCCGUGAGUUCGAAUCCCUGGUUUGGAAGUUGUGCAGUCGCUCCCCUGAAGGAGAAAAAAACAAAAUUUUUUAACGACAAUUUAAGACAGUUCAGGCAGUGCCGGUGUGAAAGCAAUACCAAAUGGCGGCCGGUUAUAUAUAUAUAUGGCUCUCGCCGCGAGUUCGAAUCCCGGGUUGGGAAGUUGUGCAGUUGUUGCCCUGAAGGAGAAAAAAACAAAAAUUUUUUUAACGACAAUUUAAGACAGUUCAGGCAGCGGCGGGGUGAAAGCAAUACCAAACGGUGGCUGGUAUAUAUAUAUGGCUCUCG